UGGGGAAUCUUGGUCAAUGGGCGCAAGCCUGAACCAGCGACGCCGCGUGAGUGAUGAAGGCCUUCGGGUUGUAAAGCUCUGUGGGGAGGGACGAAAGACUGAGGUCUAAUAGGCUUCAGGUUGACGGUACCUCCUUAGCAAGCACCGGCUAACUCUGUGCCAGCAGCCGCGGUAAGACAGAGGGUGCAAACGUUGCUCGGAAUCACUGGGCGUAAAGGGCGUGUAGGCGGGAAGGAAAGUCAGAUGUGAAAUCCCCAGGCUCAACCUGGGAACUGCAUUUGAAACUCCCUUUCUUGAGUACCGGAGAGGAAAGUGGAAUUCCUGGUGUAGAGGUGAAAUUCGUAGAUAUCAGGAGGAACACCAGUGGCGAAGGCGGCUUUCUGGACGGUAACUGACGCUGAGACGCGAAAGCGUGGGGAGCAAACAG
rnacentral:rRNA from 1 species